AGGGGUGGAAGGUCUCAGAGGAAAGGGCAGAAAGGUCCAGAGCUUAAACUGGAGGGGUCCAGACCAGACCCUGGGGGGCCACGCAUGGCUGGGGGCAGACGCCAGUGGGUUUGCUCCCAGGUUCCCCCACCCCUGUGGGUACCAGCCAGAGCUGCUGUGGGUACACGAGGGUGACAGAGAGAGGGGCCUCGUGUCCUGUGAUGGGGGUGAGGAUCACCUACCUAGGCCAGCCCAGACACAGGGUAGCCACCGGGCAGUGGCCCUGGUGUCCUGACCGUCCCCAACAGACCCCUGGGGCUCCUGGCUCUCUUUGUCUCUCGGAUAUAGGGGACACAGCGGCUUCGGAGACCUCAGACCCAGCUCAGCGCUCCUACUCCCUGAGGGGCUAAGAGGGGCAGGGGGCUUGGGGACCCUUCCCAGCCUCCCCCAGACUUUGUGAUGCUUUUCAGACCCUGAAAAGCCCCAAGCACCCACAACCUCUGGGAACCCAGGGAGGCCAGGCUGUGCCCCCUGCCCUGAAGCCAGGCCCCUCCCCGGAUGAGGAAUCUGGCCUCCCUUCUAGCCUGAACCCCUGCCCUGGAGACUCAAGCUGACCAGUCAGCUGUUCACGCAGCAUAAAUUCUGAGCACCUGCAAGCGGUGAGAAAGCCCCCAGCCAGAGGCCCGCAGGAGCCCAUUGGCUCACAGCCCUCCGACAGCCAGCGGUCCCUCCUGAGCCCCCGCCGCCCACCACAGCCCCUUCUGGAGCCGGCGGGCGCUCUCCCCUUCCUGAAGUCACACUGCGCCAUUCCGUCCCUACACUCGCACGGGACGUGCAGGCCAGUCGAGGAGCCCGGUCAGGAAGGACUUCCGGGCACCCCCCAGUCCCUUUGUUUGAGGAUCAGAAACCCAAGGCUCCCAGAAAUUAACCUGCCGAGAUCUCUCGGCCGGGA